GCCAAAAAUCUAGCCCCAAAACAAACCCCCAAAACACACAACAAUAAAACAAACCAUUUGAAAAAACUAGUAAAGGCGAUUAAACAUUUACCCUGGAAGCAAUAGAAAGAGUACCGCAAGGGAAAAGUGAAAAAGCAAUGAAAUAAUUAAGCAAAAAAAAGCAAAGACUAACCCUUGUACCUCUUGCAUCAUGGUUUAGCAAGAAUACUGCAGACAAGGCGACCCAAGCCUGCCCUCCAGAAACCAAGUGAGCUACCGUAGAGCAACCAAUAGGGUCAACCCGUCUCUGUAGCAAAAGAGUGGGAAGACUUUACGGUAGCGGUGAAAAGCCUACCGAACUUGUUGAUAGCUGGUUGCCUGAUAAAUGAACCUAAGUUCAACCUUAAAUUUUUACAACACCAAAUAGUGCCCCAUUAAUUUAAGAUAUAUUCAAUGAGGGUACAGCCUCAUUGAACCAGGACUCAACCUGAUACAGAGAGUUAGCCUAUCCUAAAAAUUAGUAGGCCUUAAAGCAGCCACCAAUAAAAACAGCGUCAAAGCAUAACAAAAACAAAUACAAAACAUAAAAACAAACUCCUGCUAGCUAAUCAGGCCACCCUAUAAAAAUAUAGGAGAAUCAAUGCUAAAACUAGUAACAAGAAACCAAUCUCUUAGCACAAUUGUAAAUCAGCAAUAGAAUAACUACCGAAGAUUAACGGAAGAAUAUAAUAAACUUAUCAUCAUAUUAACACCACCGUUACUCCAACACAGGUGUGCAAAAAAGAAAGAUAAACAAUUAAAAAAGGAACUCGGCAAGAACUAGUCCCAACUGUUUACCAAAAACAUAGCCUUUAGCUAAACAAGUAUUAAAGGUAACGCCUGCCCAGUGAAAAAUUAAACGGCCGCGGUAUCCUAACCGUGCAAAGGUAGCGUAAUCAUUUGUCCCCUAAAUAGAGACCUGUAUGAAUGGCUAAAUGAGGACUAACCUGUCUCCUUUAAUUAAUCAGUGAAACUGAUCUACCAGUACAAAAGCUGGUAUGUAAUCAUUAGACGAGAAGACCCUGUGGAGCUUUAAAUCUAAAACCAACACCAAACAACCAAAAACAUCAACCAUGGUUCAAGAUUUUAAGUUGGGGCGACUUCGGAACAAAACAAAACUUCCGAGCACAAGGAAAUCUACCUCACCAAGACCCACAAGUCAAAACAAAAACUGACCCAGUACAACUGAUCACCGAACCAAGUUACCCCAGGGAUAACAGCGCAAUCUUCUUCAAGAGUUCUUAUCGACAAGAAGGUUUACGACCUCGAUGUUGGAUCAGGACACCCAAAUGGUGCAGCCGCUAUUAAAGGUUCGUUUGUUCAACGAUUAACAGUCCUACGUGAUCUGAGUUCAGACCGGAGUAAUCCAGGUCGGUUUCUAUCUAUGUAGUUGCUUUCUACAGUACGAAAGGACCCAGAAAGCAGGGCCAAUGCUAACAGCAAGCCCUACUUUCAAAGGCUGACCUCGACUAAAGCCUAAAACAAAACACACACCAUCUGUAGACAACAGACUUU
rnacentral:rRNA from 1 species